CCCUCCGUGUCAGGUGUCCUCCGAGGCAACACGGACUCCAGAAACAGGAAGUCCUUCGCGUCCUUCCGGCGAGGCGGCCGCGGCCUCGCUUUGGAGAGGAGGAACAGUUUGUAGCCCAGGAAGAGGCAGUUGAGCAGGAGCAGCACGAUUACAGCCGGGAUGAGCAGCAGGACCACCAGGGUGAGGCUGACCACCGGGUAACCCUCGCUCAAAUUGGGGCUGGGUGGUGUGCUCUGACCUGGCUGCGACAUUUAAUCACGGACACCCCUUCACCACGCCGUGUAGAUGAGAACCAUGAUGACUGCUGCAAAGCUACGCUGUCGCUGUCCACUCGGGGCUGGUGCUGAAAAUGCUCCGGCUUGCCUUGACUGUGCCGCUGUCGACUGUUAAAUAGUGGCUCGGCUUCAGCUCGCUUUUCUACUCCACGCUCAGCCAGCCCACGCGGCGUGACGGAGCUUCCCCGGCGUUGGCCCCUCCCACAGCAUGGCGGGAUCCCGCCGAGUGGCGGCCCAUUGGUUGCCGGGCGCGGAUGUUGCAGCCCUCUCGCGCCUUGUGGAGCGUCGCUUCCGGAGCUCCGACAGGCACACGGCCAGAAGCGAGCGAGUCACGACUCAGAACACACAGUCCUCUUUUUUUUUUUUUUUUUGUUCCAGACAGAACAAAUACACGAAUCCAGACAGACCAGCAGGACGUGUCCUCAAAUAGCCUCACCGAGACACGCACUACAUACAUUACUAGACAGAUAAUUGGAUGGAUGGAUGGAUGGAUAGAUGGAUAGAUAGUAGGGCAGUGGGUUGAAUAUAAAAACUGGUUCUCUACAAACACUUUGCUAGUGAGAUGUUCCGUAACGCCACCAGCUGAAGACUCCCACUUCCAUAAGAGCAGAAAAAGAAGGCAGGCGAUGACACAAAUGAAGCGACAUAACCUGGUGACUUCAUCACCACAAGUAGAGUCAUGGCGUCUAUUUGGAGAAACUGGUGGACAAAGGAGAGUGUGGGACAUACAUGGCAACGCUUCCUCCGCCUCCCGGCCAAUCAGGGCCGGAUUUCCCAGGGAUUCUCGUUGCUGUCUGGCAGGAAGCGGAAGACCAAUUUGGUUCGAAGAGAGCAUCACGCCUCCUCUUCUCCUGCAGUGAUUCAGUAGAGACUUUUUUUUUUUUUUUCCUUUCCGCACGGCUGCAGCCUACGGGAACAGUCUGACUGGAGUUGGCCUUGCAAUAUAUGCACACUAGCACAGAUGCCACUAUGGUCAUAAUUACACAUUAUGGCAGUAUGACCUUGAUUUCCAUAUUUCUGUGUUCUGUAAAGGACUAUUGGAACAAUUCAUUAUAGCCAUCUAGCAGGUGUACCUAGUGAUGUGUCCCAUCAAUUCAUCCAUCGAAUAGUCGGCUGGAUGGAUAACAAAACGAUAGAUGAUGAUAGAUUGAUUGACAGAGCAGUUACGCAAGUCAAGACAAAACACCGUCCCUGUGGGACUUGGAUGAUAAAUUGCGUUUCCCUCUUUACAGCCGCCACAGUAUAUAUUUGAUUGCGCAAUCUCCACAUAGCGCUGUUAUACAACACAGUUUGUACGAGUGGGUAUUUUUAACGCUAUUGAGGCUCGAGUGUUGGGCCAGACGUUAAAAAGCGCAACCUUUUGUCUGUGCUUUCAGGUGGGAGGUUUUUAAUCAACAACUCCGGCGUCUGAAGUGGGGAAUAGGUGACUCACCGACUCUCGCCAUCUGUCUCGCCAUAAGUAAAAAGUGGUCCUGAAUAGGCGUUAUGCAGGAGGAACACUGGCAACCAUCUAAGAUUUUUACUUUUUUCAAUUUUCGACUUGGUGCUGAACUUGUGAACUUAACCACCCUCACCAAGAGGGGGCAGCAUUGUUUCAGUUUGGACACUGCGGCCAACCUCAUCACUCAUCUGACCUUUGAGCAAGCAACAAAUGUCUGUCCUCCUAUCUCCAUUUAGGUCGAGCAAUCUGAUGAGAAGAAAAGUCGAGUCUCCUAUCAACCAAACCAACGAAAUAAAAAAAGUACAUUUUGUUCAAUGUUGGUUUGAUGGACAUGUUGUGAAGAGGGUGGAAUUAAUGAAAAUAUGAUGUUCUCUCGGUUAUUUUGACACCCCCGCCCCGACCAUUUUGUCUGCCACUUCCUCCCACGCUCACGCUGAAAGAGCGCCGGUGUCUGAACAAUGGCGAGACGGUUGCUCGUUAGACAGAUGGCUCCAGCUUGGAAGGCGACGCUGAAAGCCAGUCACGCUCUGUUCUCUUCUCGCUGCACACUGACUGAACAUUAACCUGACCGAGUAGUUUGGAUUAUGAAAUUGUACUAAAGUGUCUUAAUGCAGCUGCAGUGUAUUUGUCUAAUGAUUCAUGUUGCACGAUCAUGUCCUUCUUACUCGUUCUGUAAAGAUGAGCCUUUUUUGUCGGGCUUAGUGGUAAGGGGUGCAUUAUGGAAUCGAAAAACUAUUAAAUGUUAAUUUUCUGCAGCAAUUGUGUGUAAAUGCUGAAAUGCAAGACCAUGUACAGAAAGACUUUUUUUUAAAUAAAAAAAAGAAAUGAC